GACGAACGCUGGCGGCGUGCCUAAUACAUGCAAGUCGAACGCUGAAGGAGGAGCUUGCUCUUCUGGAUGAGUUGCGAACGGGUGAGUAACGCGUAGGUAACCUGCCUGGUAGCGGGGGAUAACUAUUGGAAACGAUAGCUAAUACCGCAUAACAGUAGAUGUUGCAUGACAUUUACUUAAAAGGUGCAAUUGCAUCACUACCAGAUGGACCUGCGUUGUAUUAGCUAGUUGGUGGGGUAACGGCUCACCAAGGCGACGAUACAUAGCCGACCUGAGAGGGGGAUCGGCCCAACUGGGACUGAGACACGGCCCAGACCCCCACGGGAGGCAGCAGUAGGGAAACUUCGGCAAUGGGCGGAAGGCUGACCGAGCAACGCCGGGUGGGUGGAGAAGGUUUUCGGAUCGGAAAGCUCUGUUGUAAGGGAAGAACGAGUGUGAGAGUGGAAAGUUCACACUGUGACGGUACCUUACCAGAAAGGGACGGCUAACUACGUG
rnacentral:rRNA from 1 species